rnacentral:misc_RNA from 1 species
UCCGGUUUGAUACCGGCGGUCCCGCUAGACAUGGUAACUAGCGGCGGAGCAUGUUGCUUAAUUCGAAGCGACGCGAAGAACCUUACCUGGGUUUGACAUGCCGGGAAAUCCUGCAGAGAUGUGGGGUCCUUUUUGGGUCCGGUACAGGUGGUGCAUGGCUGUCGUCAGCUCGUGUCGUGAGAUGUUGGGUUAAGUCCCGCAACGAGCGCAACCCUUGUCCCAUGUUGCCAGCGGGUGAUGCCGGGGACUCGUGGGAGACUGCCGGGGACAACUCGGAGGAAGGUGGGGAUGACGUAUCACAGACUAUAC